rnacentral:pre_miRNA from 1 species
UGCCAAGUAUGCAGCACGUUGAUGUUGUACGUGUUAUCUCAACGGAUUGCAUACUUGGGAAA